UGAACUGUAAAAAAAUAAAAUUAAAGUCAAUCAAAAAAGUUUAAUAACAUGUGCAAUGUUAAUUUCACAUUGUUAAACUUGUGCGGUUCUUCCGAAAUCCCGUUACGACAAUGAAGCGGUAACCCGCCAUUUCAAACGGUAAAAUUUGUAACUGAAAUGCUAAACAUGUUUUGUCGUGCAAAACUACGCAGAGUUAAUAAAAAAUGCAUUGAAUUUGCAUUUUGAAAAAGAUUUGUUUUAUAAAAAACGCAUGGCUGUGUGAGGAUCCAUUUUAAUUUUGCAGAGAUUUGAAUGCAUUGUUUUUAUUCUCGAUUGUUAAUACAAAUUUCAGUUUUCUGUGACAGAAGUAACCUGUAGUUGGAACGUAAAGAUAAACUACUCUUUGGAAUGCUAUUAUGCUUUAGAAAGGCAUAUAUGAUAUGAGAAUGAUAUGAGUAUUGUAUUGUAUUAGGAUAAUCAUUUUGGAUUGACUGGUAUAAUGUGACAUGAGAUUUAUUGUGUUAUUGAUAAGUAAAUAAGCUAACCAAGCUUAGUAAAUAAAAAUCAGUUUCAUAUUUGAAAAGCGAAACUUGACGUUGUGGCAGUUAGUAACUUAUCAGCACUUGAAGGUGCUAAUGAUCAGAUUCGGGAACAUAAAGUAAGGUUAAGCACAUAAGAAAUAUAACAUUCAACAUCAAUAAAAACACGUGUGGUAUAUGCAAGUACCAACAAAUCCUAAGGGAGACGACCACACUUAAAUGAAUUUGAAAAAUAAAGUCCCACUAUUCUAUGUUCAGAUGUGACUGGUAUUCUUAGCAAUAAUGUUCAUUAGAUGUUAUAAUUCACAUCUGUUUAAUGAGGUUCCUUCUGGGAUUGUGUUAGCAAAUAAAAAUUGAACUUAACCAACCAAUCACUUGCCUUAUUUUACUCUAACUAUAACCAAAGCACACCAUGCGUUUCAUCUGAGCGGUGUUUUGUAUGCCAUGAUUGGUUCACUUUUGUAAAGUAUCAUUUUAAUUGAGGUGAAACUGAUGCACAUGUCAAUGAAAGUUAUUGUUAAUAGAAUGCAGAUGAAGAAUAAUUUGAGAAGGGCUUAUCAUCAACAGUUUUUCAUUCAUGAAUGUGAUGUAGUAUGGAAUGAGGAGAUUUAUUAAUCAUGUUGUAAAAGCCGCUUCAACCAAAUAUUUAUAAAUUGUACUUAAAUACAUACAACACAAAUCCGAUUUAAGCCAACCAAAUGUUUCUGCAAAUAAAAAUGAUAAAGUGAUCAGUUAUAACAAAUCAGAGAUAAACUUUCAAUUUGAAUUGAAAACUAACAAAUAAAAUUCUUCUAAUAUGAAAUGAUAUAUUAGAAAUUAUUGCAAUGAAACGAAUUUAACUUGAAUUUGGAAUGGAGUGAAGUAAGAAAUCAAUAGCAUCUAAUAACACCUAUCAGUAUCAUGGCAACAACUUUAAUCAAAUUUGUGUUCAUCAGUUAAAACUUCAUUACUUCAUGUAGUAGGAAUACACACAUAAUUGGCAUAAUUGGAAUGUGUAUUGUAAUAUAAUGCAAUAUUUAAGCAUAAUAUUCGCAAAGUCUUUAGAAAUUCAGUUGUAGCCAAAUACUAUCACUGUGUUGUUAUUCAUAACCCGAUGGGGUAAAAUGUUGGCGGAAAAAUUGAUCGCGUCAUCAAAGCAACAAGACCAAAUUUAAUUCUUGAAGUAAAAUCGUCAUUUUAGAAGAUUUUAACAGUUUCCAGAAAUAGCUCACUAUUUAUAAAUGCCAGAUAUCAUUUUGAUGAACAAUAUAGAUAUCAAGGAAUAACUUGGUAGGAAUAACUUCAGUCAAAUUUAUGUUCAUCAAUUAAAGCUUUAGUGUUAAGCACAGUAGUGAGAAGCAGUAAUUCACCUAUGAUAGUGAUGAGACCUUUAUAGGAUUGAGUUACAUUUGUCAGGAAUCAAAUAAGUUCGAAAGGAAAAAACACCAUUGCCUGUGUGAAGCUUCUUUAAAAUGAUCUGAUAUCAAUUAAAAUGCUUAACUCAACAUGUCUUUUCCAUCUAUUUAAAAACAUCAGACAUUAUUCAGCACAAUUUUACAACAACUGCAAGUUAUGAGGUAAACAAUA